GCGAAACCUUUACACUGCACGCCAGUGCGAUAAGGGGAUCCCAAGUGCGCAGGCAUAGAGCCUGCGCUUUUGUACACCGUAGGGAGGUGUACGAAUAAGGGCUGGGCAAGACCGGUGCCAGCCGCCGCGGUAAUACCGGCAGCCCGAGUGAUGGCCGAUCUUAUUGGGCCUAAAGCGUCCGUAGCUGGCCGCGCAAGUCCAUCGGAAAAUCCACCCGCUCAACGGGUGGGCGUCCGGUGGAAACUGCGUGGCUUGGGACCGGAAGGCGCGACGGGUACGUCCGGGGUAGGAGUGAAAUCCCGUAAUCCUGGACGGACCGCCGAUGGCGAAAGCACGUCGCGAGGACGGAUCCGACAGUGAGGGACGAAAGCCAGGGUCUCGAACCGGAUUAGAUACCCGGGUAGUCCUGGCCGUAAACAAUGUCUGUUAGGUGUGGCUCCCACUACGAGUGGGUGCUGUGCCGUAGGGAAGCCGCUAAACAGACCGCCUGGGAAGUACGUCCGCAAGGAUGAAACUUAAAGGAAUUGGCGGGGG
rnacentral:rRNA from 1 species